rnacentral:miRNA from 1 species
CUGACGAUACUUUUAAAAUCGGUUAUUUAUGAACCGAUUUUGUAUACUACAUACAAAAUCGGUUCUGCGAUAACCGAUUUUAAAAGUAACACUUU